rnacentral:tRNA from 1 species
UCGGGAUAGCUCAGUUGGUAGAGCAGAGG